AGAGUUUGAUCCUGGCUCAGAUUGAACGCUGGCGGCAUGCUUAACACAUGCAUGUCGAACGGAAACGCGAAGAGCUUGCUCUUUGGCGUCGAGUGGCGGACGGGUGAGUAACGCGUGGGAAUCUACCCAGUAGUGGAGGACAGCCAGGAGAAAUCCUGAUUAAUACUGCAUACGAUCUACGGAUGAAAGAUGGCCUCUAUUUAUAAGCUAUCGCUAUUGGAUGAGCCCGCGUUAGAUUAGCUAGUUGGUGGGGUAAGAGCCUACCAAGGCGACGAUCUAUAGCUGGUCUGAGAGGACGACCAGCCACAUCGGGACUGAGACACGGCCCGGACUCCUACGGGAGGCAGCAGUGGGGAAUAUUGGACAAUGGGCGCAAGCCUGAUCCAGCAAUGCCGCGUGUGUGAAGAAGGCCUUAGGGUUGUAAAGCACUUUCAAUUGUGAAGAAGGGGUUAAGGCUAAUACCCUUGACUCUUGACGUUAACUUUAGAAGAAGCACCGGCUAACUCUGUGCCAGCAGCCGCGGUAAUACAGAGGGUGCAAGCGUUAAUCGGAAUUACUGGGCGUAAAGCGCGCGUAGGCGGUUAGAUAAGUCAGAUGUGAAAUCCCCGGGCUCAACCUGGGAACUGCACCUGAUACUGUUUAACUAGAGUUUGGGAGAGGGAAGUAGAAUUUCAGGUGUAGCGGUGAAAUGCAUAGAGAUCUGAAGGAAUACCAGUGGCGAAGGCGACUUCCUGGCCUAAAACUGACGCUGAGGUGCGAAAGCGUGGGUAGCAAACGGGAUUAGAUACCCCGGUAGUCCACGCCGUAAACGAUGUCAACUAGUCGUUGGAUCCCUUGAGGGUUCAGUGACGCAGCUAACGCAUUAAGUUGACCGCCUGGGGAGUACGGUCGCAAGACUAAAACUCAAAGGAAUUGACGGGGGCCCGCACAAGCGGUGGAGCAUGUGGUUUAAUUCGAUGCAACGCGAAGAACCUUACCAUCCCUUGACAUCCGGAGAAUCUGCAAGAGAUUGCUUAGUGCCUUCGGGAACUCCGUGACAGGUGCUGCACGGCUGUCGUCAGCUCGUGUCGUGAGAUGUUGGGUUAAGUCCCGCAACGAGCCAACCCCUAUCCUUGGUUGCUAACAGGUUAAGCUGAGAACUCCAGGGAGACUGCCGGUGACAAACCGGAGGAAGGUGGGGACGACGUCAAGUCAUCAUGCCCCUUAUGGGAUGGGCUACACACGUGCUACAAUGGCCAGUACAGAGGGUCGCGAACUCGCGAGAGUAAGCUAAUCCCACAAAGCUGGUCGUAGUCCGGAUUGGAGUCUGCAACUCGACUCCAUGAAGUUGGAAUCGCUAGUAAUCGUAGAUCAGAAUGCUACGGUGAAUACGUUCCCGGGCCUUGUACACACCGCCCGUCACACCAUGGGAGUGGGCUGCAAAAGAAGUGGGUAGACUAACCUUCGGGAUGUCGCUCACCACUUUGUGGUUCAUGACUGGGGUGAAGUCGGAACAAGGUA
rnacentral:rRNA from 1 species